GACAGAGGGUGCAAACGUUGUUCGGAAUUACUGGGCGUAAAGCGGGUGUAGGCGGUUUCCUAAGUCAGGUGUGAAAGCCCCGGGCUCAACCCGGGAAGUGCACUUGAAACUGGGAGGCUAGAGUAUCGGAGAGGUUGGUGGAAUUCUCGGUGUAAAGGCGAAAUUCGUAGAUAUCGAGAGGAACACCGGUGGCGAAGGCGGCCAACUGGACGAAUACUGACGCUGAGACUCGAAAGCGUGGGGAGCAAACAGG
rnacentral:rRNA from 1 species